rnacentral:rRNA from 1 species
GACGAACGCUGGCGGCGUGCUUAACACAUGCAAGUCGAACGGAAAGGCCCUGCUUUUGUGGGGCGCUCGAGUGGCGAACGGGUGAGUAACACGUGAGUAACCUGCCCUUGACUUUGGGAUAACUUCAGGAAACUGGGGAUAAUAUCGGAUAGGAGCUCCUGAUGCAUGGGGGGGGAUGGAAAGUUUCGGCGGUUUGGGAUGUACUCGUGGCUUAUCAGCUUGUUGGUGGGGUAGUGGCUUACAAAGGCUUUGAAGGGUAGCCGGCCUGAGAGGGUGACCGGCGACCUUGGGACUGAGGUACGGCCCAGACUGCUACGGGAGGCAACAGGGGGAAAUCUUGCCCAAUGGGCGGAAGCCUAGUGAAGCAGCGCCGCGUGCGGGAUGACGGUCUUCGGGUUAUAAACCGCUUUCGCCUGUGACGAGGCGUUAGUGACGGUACUGUGUAAAGAAGCACCGGCUAACUACGUG